UGGGGAAUCUUGGACAAUGGGCGCAAGCCUGAUCCAGCCAUGCCGCGUGGAUGAUGAAGGCCUUAGGGUUGUAAAAUCCUUUCGCCGAGGACGAUAAUGACGGUACUCGGAGAAGAAGCUCCGGCUAACUUCGUGCCAGCAGCCGCGGUAAUACGAAGGGGGCUAGCGUUGUUCGGAUUUACUGGGCGUAAAGCGCGUGUAGGCGGGUCGUUAAGUUGGGGGUGAAAUCCCGAGGCUCAACCUCGGAACUGCCUUCAAAACUGGCGACCUGGACCUAAGUAGAGGCAAGUGGAAUUGCGAGUGUAGAGGUGAAAUUCGUAGAUAUUCGCAGGAACACCAGUGGCGAAGGCGACUUGCUGGACUUAUGGUGACGCUGAGACGCGAAAGCGUGGGGAGCAAACAGGAUUAGAUACCCACGUAGUCCCUGAGCGGGCUGGCAAGGCGCAU
rnacentral:rRNA from 1 species